rnacentral:rRNA from 1 species
CGCCGCGUGAGUGAUGAAGGUCUUCGGAUCGUAAAACUCUGUUAUUAGGGAAGAACAAAUGUGUAAGUAACUAUGCACGUCUUGACGGUACCUAAUCAGAAAGCCACGGCUAACUACGUGCCAGCAGCCGCGGUAAUACGUAGGUGGCAAGCGUUAUCCGGAAUUAUUGGGCGUAAAGCGCGCGUAGGCGGUUUUUUAAGUCUGAUGUGAAAGCCCACGGCUCAACCGGGGAGGGUCAUUGGAAACUGGAAAACUUGAGUGCAGAAGAGGAAAGUGGAAUUCCAUGUGUAGCGGUGAAAUGCGCAGAGAUAUGGAGGAACACCAGUGGCGAAGGCGACUUUCUGGUCUGUAACUGACGCUGAUGUGCGAAAGCGUGGGGAUCAAACAGGAUUAGAUACCCUGGUAGUCCACGCCGUAAACGAUGAGUGCUAAGUGUUAGGGGGUUUCCGCCCCUUAGUGCUGCAGCUAACGCAUUAAGCACUCCGCCUGGGGAGUACGACCGCAAGGUUGAAACUCAAAGGAAUUGAC